AUUGAACGCUGGCGGCAUGCCUUACACAUGCAAGUCGAACGGCAGCAUGGAGAGCUUGCUCUCUGAUGGCGAGUGGCCAACGGGUGAGUAAUGCAUCGGAACGUACCGUGUAAUGGGGGAUAACGUAGCGAAAGUUACGCUAAUACCGCAUACGACCUGAGGGUGAAAGCAGGGGAUCGCAAGACCUUGCGUUAUACGAGCGGCCGAUGUCAGAUUAGCUGGUUGGUGAGGUAAAGGCUCACCAAGGCGACGAUCUGUAGCGGGUCUGAGAGGAUGAUCCGCCACACUGGGACUGAGACACGGCCCAGACUCCUACGGGAGGCAGCAGUGGGGAAUUGUGGACAAUGGGGGCAACCCUGAUCCAGCCAUGCCGCGUGAGUGAAGAAGGCCUUCGGGUUGUAAAGCUCUUUCGGCCGGGAAGAAAUCGCACAGGCUAAUACUCUGUGUGGAUGACGGUACCGGCAUAAGAAGCACCGGCUAACUACGUGCCAGCCGCCGCAGUAA
rnacentral:rRNA from 1 species